GCUGGAAUCGCUAGUAAUCGCAGGUCAGCAUACUGCGGUGAAUACGUUCCCGGGUCUUGUACACACCGCCCGUCACACCAUGGGAGCCGGAAAUGCCCGAAGCCAGUGACCCAACCUUAGGGAGGGAGCUGUCGAAGGUGGAGCCGGUAACUGGGUGAAGUCGUAACAAGGUAUC
rnacentral:rRNA from 1 species